UACCAACGAAAUCUUGUUUAUGUAAAAAACAAUAUUCUUUCAGAUGACGAAAGUGUACGAAAAAAACGACGCUUAUGAUGGGAUAGAAAUAAAAAAAUGACGUAAGAUUUUAUACAAAUAUUAUGUGCUAUACAAAUUUUAUUUUAAAAUAAAGUAUUUUGUUCUUAAGGUUUUAAAAUUAAAAUCCUUAAUUAAUGAUUGAGCAUACAACAUUUAACAUUUACAUGUAUCUUACAGUAGGCUUUGUUCUAAUUUUAGCACCGAAAGUUGGCAUCGAGCAUGCGCAAAAGAAACAGUAGUUUUGGUUUCCGACGUGUCGCUGCAUCGGAAAAUAACAAAAUGUCUGCAAAAGAAAGACUUCUUUAUUUUCAUGCUGAGCGCAAACAAAGGCACGCCAUUUUUUCAUAAUUAUAUUUUAGGGUGUAUUUGUGUGUAGGGUGUAUAUUAAGUUUCUGUGAUGACAUCGAACCGAGGUUAAUCCACUCCCAAUUAAGAGACUGGAACCAAAAUGAAAAUUUCUGGAACUGUACAGCUCUAGUUCAUAGAACUUCAGCGACAUUUUUAUUUUAGGAAUGGAAGUGUUAUCGCAGAAAUGGAGUUGAUAUUCAAUGACAAAAAAACACAAAAGGCAUUAGUGAGUUACUGGAAGGCGUAAGAAACAAUUCCUUUGGCGAUUUUGAUGUUGAC